rfam:Cronobacter sakazakii ATCC BAA-894, complete genome.
UAAUAAUCACUCCAGACCCCUGGCUGAGCCCUGCAAAAUCACGGGUUAAUCGUUUGCCUGUACACACCCCUGACUGCCGCGAGGGGAGUGCGGCAUGCCGGGAAACGCGACAUUUUUCGUGAGGAGGGGUCGAUGGCCGGUACCGAAUAAAGUAGCGACGAAUUUUGGCUUAUCUUUAUCGAAAGGGGAAGAGGGAAAACGCAUAUCUGGUUAAAUGUCGCAGGAUUUUUCGGCCCGUUUAUGCAAAAAUGCGCACUACCUGAUUUUUAUGGGGUCUUUAAGGAGAAUACCAUGAGUACCGAUCUGAAAUUUUCGCUGGUCACGACGCUGGUUGUACUGGGCCUGAUUGUGGCGGGCGCAUUUACCGCCAUUCUGCAUUAAGCG